UAUAAGGGAUUUUAAGUUUUUGCUUGCAACGUUUGACCACUUGUCUUAUUCAAAAUUUUUUAAAUUAUUAUUUAUUGUAUUUGUGACUUACUUUAUUAUCUACAAUAUUUUGAGCACAACUUUUCGUUUUUUAUAUUUGCAAAAAAAAAUUGAAUAAGACGAGUGGUCAAACGUUGUAAGGAAAAACUCAAAAUCCCUUAUA
rnacentral:pre_miRNA from 1 species